rnacentral:rRNA from 1 species
CAGUAGCCGCGGGAACACGGAGGGAGCUAGCGUUGUUCGGAAUUACUGGGCGUAAAGCGCACGUAGGCGGCUUUGUAAGUUAAAGGUGAAAUCCUGGAGCUCAACUCCAGAACUGCCUUUGAUACUGAAAGUCUUGAGUAUGGGAGAGGUGAGUGGAACUGCGAGUGUAGAGGUGAAAUUCGUAGAUAUUCGCAAGAACACCAGUGGCGAAGGCGGCUCACUGGCCCAUUACUGACGCUGAGGCACGAAAGCGUGGGGAGCAAACAGGAUUAGAUACCCCCGUAGUCCCUGUCUCUUAUAC